rnacentral:rRNA from 1 species
UUAUUGGAGAGUUUGAUCCUGGCUCAGGACGAACGCUGGCGGCGUGCCUAAUACAUGCAAGUCGAGCGGAUCUGUUUGAAGCUUGCUUCAGACAGGUUAGCGGCGGACGGGUGAGUAACACGUAGGCAACCUGCCCGUAAGACCGGGAUAACGUAGGGAAACUUACGCUAAUACCGGAUAGGGCACCUUCUCGCAUGAGAGGGUGCGGAAAGGUG